GGGGCCGGGGCCCGGGGCGGCGGCGGCGGGACGGGAGGACCAUGGCGGCCUCCGAGCGCCGCGCCUUCGCGCACAAGAUCAACAGGACGGUGGCCGCAGAGGUGCGGAAGCAGGUGUCCCGGGAACGCAGUGGCUCCCCCCACUCCAGCAGGCGCUGCAGCAGCUCCCUGGGGGUCCCACUGACUGAGGUUGUCGAGCCCCUGGACUUUGAGGAUAUACUUCUGAGCCGGCCACCAGAUGCUGAGCCCGGGCCCCUCAGGGACCUGGUAGAAUUCCCAGCUGAUGACUUGGAGCUGCUGCUGCAGCCCCGGGAAUGCCGGACCACGGAGCCCGGGAUCCCCAAGGAUGAGUGGGUUCAGCCCCACGCCCUCUCUGCCUGUGAUUCCACUCUGUCUCUGCCAUCCCCAUCAACAGCCCAACUUCAGCUCCUGGCUUGGCCGUGACGUUGGACAAGCCAUGCUUCUUCUCUGAGCCUCCAUCUCCCCUUGUCUGGAAUAGGGAGGACAGUGCUAACCUUACAGGCUAGCAGAAGGAUUCACAGAGGCCUUGCCUCUGUUUACCCUGAUCUUCUUUUGCUGCAGAAAACUGGAUGCCCAGGUGAGGGCCGCGGUGGAGAUGUAUAUUGAGGACUGGGUCAUUGUCCACAGAAGGUGAGUCUGACUUGGGGGCAGCUCAGGGGGUUCGGAACCCAAAAGGGCUGAGCUGAUGUCUGCAGCCGGUCCUACUGUGUAUCUGCCCAUUGUCCCUGCAAGACCAGGCAAACUUGUCUGGUGGAGCACAAGGACGGUGGCUUUGAAGGUGCCAUGUAGGUGUGUCAGAACACACUGGGGACCCCCUGGGGGCCCUCAGCCCUCCCUACCUGCCCAGCCCCGUUUCCUGCUAGGUAUCAGUACCUGAGUGCAGCAUACAGCCCCGUCACCACGGAGACACAGCGGGAGCGACAGAAGGGCCUCCCCCACCAGGUCUUUGAGCAGGACGCUUCUGGAGACGAGAGGUCCGGCCCUGAGGACUCGGUGAGGAAGCCCCUGGCUGGGGUCACUGAAGGGGUAUGUGUGGAGGCUCCGGCCUCAGCUUUUGGUCACAUGUGACAGGAAAUGACCCAAACAGCCUUGAGCUCAAAAGGAAUUGCAUCAGUCCCCAUGAGUAAAAAGUUAGGGGUCAUAAUUAUAAACAUUUAUUGAGUGCUUAGGGUGUACUGAAGGCUUCAUAUGUGUCCUCUGCUUUCAUCCUAGGAGUCAGGGCAGCCAUUACACCCAGGUAAGGAAACUGAGGCACAGCAAGGUUCUUAGAGGCCGUGAGCCUGUAUUUUGUCAAUCAACAUUUACUGAGCACCUACUGUAUACCAACCAUAAUUAUUCCAAAGAUUAUUGUUGUUUUCAUUAUUAUUAUUAUUUUAAUUAAUUAAUUAUUUUGAGAUGGAGUCUCACUCUGUCGCCCAGGCUGAAGUACAGUGGUGCAAUCUCAGCUCACUGCAACCUCCACCUCCCGGAUUCAAGCGAUCCUUCCACCUCAGCCUCCCGGGUAGCUGGGAUUACAGGCAUGCGCCACCAUGCCGGCUAAUUUUGUUAUUAUUUUUAGAUGUACAUAGGGAAACUGAGGCCCUUAGAGUUGGGGGUCAGAGACCCAGUGUCACAGAGCUGAGCUGGGAUUUGAUCCAGUGCAGGAAGGUCAGGAAGAACUCUCUCCUUCCCUGGCGACAGUGAACAAAGUCCCAGGGAAGGCUUUCAUUGGCCAAGCCCAGGCCCUUGGAGCCAGUCCCUAGGGUGGGUAGAUGUGUUUUGAUUGACCAGAUAAGGAUCAUCUACCCCAAAUGUGGGAUAAGGAGUAGCCUCCCCCAGCAAUGGUAAAAGUUGGGAGGCUCUCCAGACAGAAUUUUCUGGAAAGAGGGUAGGCAAAACCCCCAGGUGACCCUUAGAGUGAUGACCCUCACCCCCUGACCUUCAAUUUCCCCAUCUCUAGAGUGAGUAUGAGGACACUCUCACCAGAGUGAGGUGAGGGUGUAUACAGCUGGCACUCAGUGCUUGCACAUUCUCCACUGGCAGAAUGACUCCCGGCGUGGCUCGGGCUCCCCGGAAGACACCCCUCGAAGCAGUGGUGCCUCUAGCAUCUUCGACCUGAGGAACCUGGCAGCUGACUCAUUGCUGCCCUCUCUGCUAGAGCGGGUGGUCCCAGAAGAUGUGGACCGGCGCAAUGAAACCCUUCGACGGCAGCACCGGCCCCCGGCCCUGCUCACCCUCUACCCGGCGCCUGACGAGGAUGAAGCCGUGGAACGCUGUAGCCGCCCAGAGCCACCCCGCGAGCACUUUGGGCAGAGGAUCUUGGUCAAGUGUCUGUCGCUCAAGUGAGUAUACUGACAUGUCUCUCUUCUUAGAUGCGUGAAGCGACCACAUGGGUUCCGGUGGGGUGCACACUACGUGAGUAGUGCCAUUACCGUGUGCAGCCCUGUCACCUAUGUGGCCACCUAUGUAUGGGCUUUUAUGGGGGAAGGAAGACUUCCUUUUUCAUUAUCCUGAGUCUCCAAUCCUUAAGUGCCAAUUGUAUGCCAGGAUCAGUUCUCAGCCUUUCAUGUAUAUGAACCCGUCUAAUCUUCACCACAACCUCAUGAAGUGGGCACAGGUGGGGAAACUGAGGCACAGAGUGGUAACAUGACACCAAGACCAUACAACUUGUAAGGCUGGAGUCUGGCGCUUGCCUGCUCUGCUGCUGGGAUCCAGGGUUUGGCCGGGAGGCUUUGGGGCGGGUGCUAGUGGCCCCUGGCCUGGCUCUCAGCCGCCCAGGGCCCCUCCACACCAGCCCCCGGGGAGCAGCAGAAGUGCGUGGGAACAGAGUUGAACAGGAUGUGGACUUGGACCUGAGCCUGGCCCUGCCUCUCCCCACCCCGAGUUCUUGCCUGGAUCGGGGCAGGAAAGGGAGGCUCCAUUCUGGCCUGAGGCCUGGGUGGGCCUCCUGCCCUAAACACAAGGAUUGGGAACUGGCUCUGUGGGCUCAUCCAGUCAUUCAACAAACACUUAUUGGCCGGGCACGGUGGCUCCCACCUGUAAUCCUAAUACUUUGGGAAGCCAAGGCGGGCGGAUCACCUGAGCUCAGGAAUUUGAGACCAGCGUGGCCAACAUGGCAAAACACCAUCUCUACUGAGAAAAAAAAAAAA
rnacentral:sRNA from 1 species